rnacentral:ncRNA from 2 species
AGAUGAGAUAGAGGUUGCAAUGGAUAAAAGUAGUUUGAAUGAGGGACAGAGGAACCGAUGACUUCAAAUGAAAGGAUUCAUUGCCGAAGUUUGCAGCGUACUCUGGCGCCGCAAGCUGGGCCUGCAUUCGAAUAGAGUCAGGACUGCCAUCGCUUAAUGGAAGCGAUGGAGCGCUAUCUACAUU